rnacentral:rRNA from 1 species
CAGCCGCCGCGGUAACACGAAGGGUGCAAGCGUUAAUCGGAAUUACUGGGCGUAAAGCGUGCGUAGGCGGUUUGUUAAGUCUGCUGUGAAAUCCCCGGGCUCAACCUGGGAAUGGCAGUGGAUACUGGCAAGCUAGAGUGUGUCAGAGGAUGGUGGAAUUCCCGGUGUAGCGGUGAAAUGCGUAGAGAUCGGGAGGAACAUCAGUGGCGAAGGCGGCCAUCUGGGACAACACUGACGCUGAGGCACGAAAGCGUGGGGAGCAAACAGGAUUAGAUACCCGUGUAGUCCCUGUCUCUUAUAC